AAAAUGGGUAUCCCGGUGGAUUGAAAACCCGAAAGGGCGAUCCAGGCAAAAGUUAGGGAUUAAGCGAAUAAAACCUGAAAGGGCAACUUAGGCAAAAAUGGGUAUCCCGGUGGAUUGAAAACCCGAAAGGGCGAUCCAGGCAAAAGUUAGGGAUUAAGCGAAUGACUGCGUUCUGAGUAGUUCUGAAUCUCAUCUCACAUCGGUAACUG
rnacentral:lncRNA from 1 species